rnacentral:rRNA from 1 species
UACGUAGGGCGCGAGCGUUGUCCGGAAUUACUGGGCGUAAAGGGCGCGUAGGCGGCCUGUUAAGUCGAACGUGAAAUCCCCGGGCUCAACCCGGGAACUGCGUCCGAUACUGGCAGGCUUGAAUUCGGGAGAGGGAUGUGGAAUUCCAGGUGUAGCGGUGAAAUGCGUAGAUAUCUGGAGGAACACCGGUGGCGAAGGCGGCAUCCUGGACCGAUAUUGACGCUGAUGCGCGAAAGCCAGGGGAGCAAACGGG